UGACUUUUGAAUGGAUCCUGAAAGCUGACUGUGAGCCUGUAGGAUGGACAACAGGAGGAAGGGUACUCCGGGCGGACUGCACAGCUCACGCAAAGGCACAGAGGUGGGACGGCGGGUGACGGAUGAAAGACAGCCAGCGCAUCAAAGGCCGAAGCAGGGGUGCGCAGGGAGAGUGUGGGAGUCUGGGGCAAGGAGCCUGGACAGGUCAGCAGAGGAGGGCCCCGGAGGACUCUGCAUGCAGGCCAAGGAGGUGACAUGUAUCCUGAAGGCAGGGGAGAGUGCUGUGGGUGAAGGAAGGACGGAUCCCUGACGGGCCGCCUGGAGCGGGAGCAUGCAGGAGCCGGGUGCCUGUGGGGAGGCAGCCGUCCGGAGGCCGGCCAGGAGCACGGAGUCCAGGAAAACUGAGAGCAUUGCGGGGCCUCGCGCUUGCGUGGGAGGGAAGGUCAAGGCUGACCCCCAGGUGUGGGACGGACAGCGAGCCCCUCACCUGCGCAGGAGACAGGACGAGAGCUUGGUGCGAGGGUGGAAGAAAAACUCCGCUCUGCACACCAGGGACUCCACGCACCAUGGUCAUUUGGGUAGAAAUGCAGGGAAGGGCUGUCUGCGGCCCCUGGGAAAGGCUGCAGCUGGACACGGAGCUAUGGGGGCAGAGGGGGGACGCAGGUGAGGCCCAGGAGCCCCCACACUCUCGACAGCCCGAGGGAGGGGCACUUAGGAAGACAGUGGAAUGAACACAAGGAGAGGGCAGGUGGCUGUGCUGCGGGUCAUCAGAGCCCACAAAGGAAAAGAGGAACUGGACCUGCGUGGCCGGAGUUAAAUGUCACUCAGACAGUCAGUCAGCAAACAUUAACCAGGGCCUCACGGGAGCGAGAUCAACUCGGAAGUGACUUAUCUAGAAGACUUCCUGACCAGGAAGCCUCCGUCUUACCCAGAGGGGCCCCAACACACUGCGUAAAGAAAGGAAUCCAGAGGGGCCGCCCCGUGGCCGAGUGGUUAAGUUCACGCGCUCCACUUCAGCGGCCCAGGGUUUCACCAGUUCGGAUCCUGGGCGCGGACAUGGCACUGCUUGUCAGGCCACACUGAGGCGGCGUCCCACAUGCCACAGCCAGAGGCACCCACAGCUAGAACAUAACAACUAUGUAUGGGGGGCUUUGGGGAGAAGAAAGAAAAAAAACAGAUUGGCAACAGAUGUUAGCUCGGGUGCCAAUCUUUACUCCCAAGAAAGAAGGAAGAGAAGGAAGAAGAAAAGACCCACAUACCCUCAGACAAGGGAGGGAAGCGUCUGUGGACUUUUCAAAAUUUUAUUUUUCUGGCUUCUUGCUGUUUACUCCUUUUGUGGGGACAGGAGAUACGGUGGCUGGGGGGCCGCGCUCGUCUGGGAUGCAAAGUGUCACACGAAGACGCAGAGGGACGUCCAGAAGUCAGAUCAGCCAACGACUCAGCUGUCCCCUUUGCUGCCGCCCCUGCCCAGGCCCCACGGCAGAGGAGGGGCCAGGACUCCUGCCUCCACGUCCCGCGUCCUCGGGAAGCGGGGAGAAAGGACUGCGGGAGAUAUGGGGGGGUAUCCCGCCUCAUCCUGGGCAUCACGCCGUCAUCCUCGGAAUUGUGCUGCUCUGACCCCUCUGGAGAACGGCCCCCUGACCUGUCCCAGAGUGGUCAGGUCCUUCCCACCUCCAGAUUCCCAUGGCGCUGAGGCUGCACCUCCUUCUGCCUGUGGCGUGGCUACUUGGGUAAACAGAGCCACCGUCCUCCAGAUCAUCGCCACCAUGUGCUGAGCACUCGCCAAGUGCUGGGCCCCAUGCUGAGCACCUGAAAUAAUUACCGUAUUUAAUCUGUACCUUAUUACCCCAAGCUCAGAGAGGUAGAGUAACUUGCCCAAGGACACACAGCUCAUGAACACCAGCCAGUUUCCAAACGCAGGUUUGUCUGACUCCAAAACGGAGACUCUGAAUCACACGUUUGGGGAGCCUGACAGCAUUUAACCUGGGAAGAGAUCCUGGAGAGACCUGCCCCAAUGCUCUUAGUUUUCAAAAGUGGAAAGUGAAGCCCAGAGAAGUCGAGUGCCAAGGCCAGUGCUCCACAGUCGGGUGCACGCCAGCACUGUGCAGGCCCUGGCCCAGGGCUGGCGUGUGGGGACUGAGGAUGCAUUAGCCCUCCGCCACUUCUCUACACCCGUGCAUACACCCGUGUUGCACCCAGGAGUGUGCCUUGCCCUCGAUAAACACUGAUCGCUCCCUCUGCUGGUCCCAAGCAUCCUGGGUUCCAUCAGGAUGGUCACAACGUCAGAGGCCACUAGGUGGAACCAGACGUUCAGCGAUGGAAGUUAAGGGACGCCUUGACUAGCCCCGGGGGGCUACCUGGGCCCACCUCCUCCAAAGACACUCGGCUGAGGGAGCCGUCAUGUGACUGGCAGGUUCCCAGGGGCCGCCACCCAGGGGGCAGGUGGGGAUGGACCUCUCCUUUCCCCCACGCUCCUGAGGGCACCCACUGUGGGUCCCGCAAAGGCGCUCCUCUCCCGUCCCUGCUUCUGCUCCCCGAAGGCUCCUCUCCCAGGACCGGCUGCAGCCCUCAUCUGGGGGCCUGCCCUGCAGAAGCCGAGGCCCUCCCAGCCCUCAGACCGUCUCUCCCGUCCCAGGAAUUCCCCAGCCUUCUCCCUGGGAAUUUCCCCAACGCCGGCUGCUGAGAAGGUGCUCACCGAGGAGAGACAGGGCAGGGGAGAGGCCGGGCUGUCCCCGGGCAUUGAACCGGGCUGAGGUGGCAGUGCCACCCAGGAAAAUGAGAAGAGCUAACGUUCUGUUGAGCAAGACCACGCACCACGCAUUCUCCAGCCGAGAGCAUCUUCCGGAACGAGACCGUCCGGAUUUAGCUCUUAAAAUGGCCCUGCCACUUGCUAGCUGUGUGCGUGUGACUCUGGUCAGGUACUUAACCUCUCGGUGCCUCAGUUUCCUCAUCUGUCACAUGGGGAUAAUAACAGGCUUGGUGUGAAUAUCGCCUGAGUUCAUGCGUGUAAGUCACAUUGUACGCACUGAGUGUUAGCUACUGGCUGUGCAGCUCAUUUAAUUCUCACAACCACCUUACGAGGCAGGGUACUAUUAUGAUCUUCAUUUGACAGGUUUGGAAACUGAGGCACAGAGUGCAGCUGGCAGCCAGAGAGGCAGGAAGGGCAAUUCUGAGACGAGUCCUCCCUUGCCAGAGUUCUGGCCUGAACAGGGACAAGCGUCUGGCCUGCACCUGGCACCAGACUACGCAGGGGGGUGUGGACACUCUGACCCCCUAGGUCCCACUGUGCCAGCUCCCCAUGCUCCGCUCCUGGGCCCAAGGGGCCCUCGGGUUCUGCUCUGGAGGACGGGCGGAGGGCCACCAGUGGGAAAGUGGUUUCUGAAGCUCAGGGGCUUUGGGACCCAGCCCAGCUCUGCUGCCAGCGAGCCCUGUGAUGUCGAUAACAGCAACUUCACUCGCUUUACCAAUACUGGUUGAGGACCUGCCAUGCACCAAGCCGCGUGGAACACGCCGGGGCUGUGCCCAGCACGGCACGACCUCUGCCCCCCGAAACUCGCGCUCGCGUGAAGGUGGCCACCACUGAGAAAACUAGCCCCAAAUAGCACAACUCCAGACCACGAGGAAAACAAGCGGAGGGCACUCCAUCACAGACCUCUCUGCCCUUCUGCUGUCCCCUCAGUGAAAGGUCAGGGUGCCAUCCUGGCCUGGGGUCUCCCGAGGAUGCUGCUGCAAUGAGAGGUUGUCCUGGACGCAGCGUGAGGUUAGAUUCACACGUCACCAUCCCCUCACGCCCUUGCUGUGUAGCCUCAGGAGAGUUCCUUGACCUAUCUGAGCCUCACUUACCUCUCUGGACUGUAAAUGAGAGGACGAGCGAACAUUUUGGACCACUAUUGACCUAAGGUUCACAGAAAGCCAGCCCUGGACACUGGAGAGACAUAUUCAGGAGGCUGCGCUCUAGAGAUGGCCCAGAGAGGACAAGUGACUUGUCUAGACGCACACAGCAUGUUCAUGGUCUUGGGACUGCUGAGCAGUGGGUUCAAAUCUCAGAGCCAGGAAUAGAACUCCCUGCAGGCUUGCCCUGCUCCCGCCCCGGGUCGGACCCGCUGCCUACUGGGGAAAGAGGUUUGUAAUUAUAGUCAUUGCUAAACAUGCAGUCAAGCCACAGAGCUGCCCUGGGGACACAGAGGACAUGUGGCCCCUCCGUCUCCCUGACGUCAGCCCUGUGUCACCAGUCCCUGGGAGCCCUGCCCAGUGGUGUGACGUCACGGGGCUGAACGGUGGCACCCUGGAGAGAGGAGGGCGAGGGAUCCGGGUGGGGUGAACCGGCCCUUCGAGGGGUAGCGAGCUGGCUGCAGGGGUGACCCAAACUCCCGGGUCCUCCUGGAUGCCCGCCCCGUGGCUCUGAAACCCGGCUGCCUGCUGCUGCUCCCAGGGGUGACUGAGUCAGCCGUCCCUCGCCAACUUAUGAGUAACGCAAAGUCAGGCCUCCCUGCCUAGGGAGGGUUGUGGUUAUGAGGGUGGAAUUUAGAGAAUUCGGAGUAUCGGGUCAUCCUGGCAGAUCUCAGCUUCUCACCCGUCAGCUGAGACCUGGUGGGUUUCUGGCCUUGCGGCACCUCAUCCGCAAACCAGGACGAGGACAGCCACCAGCGGGAUGGUCGUGAGGGUUAAACAGGAUGCCCUGUGUGUCCAGCAAGAGGCCGGCGUGUCACCUUAUGGGCUCACUUUUUGUGUCAGACACAAUAAAAAUAUUAUAGAAAAG
ensembl:lncRNA